CUCACAUCCAAUCACAAAAAAAGGUCCUUUCUACCAUGUAUAGACUGAUUAGGGAAUCACAAGAACCACACCUCCUGGGCUACACGACUAAAUGGGCAGAUGAACUCAAACUAAACUUCUCUCAUCAACAAUGGCAAACUAUUCUCAAAAAGGCACAUAAUUCAACCACCUCAUUAACAGCACAAGAGAGUAAUUUUAAGCGUAUAACCCGGUGGCACUUUACAUCAGCAAAAAUCCACACAAUACACAACACGACAACGGACUUCUGCUGGAGGUGCUACCUAAAAGAAGCACAUCAUGCACACAUAUGGUGGCAAUGCCCUGUGAUCGCUAACUUUUGGAACAGAAUUCACACUAUC